CAGAAACUCAGAAUCCUGGCCUGUGACAUCAACAAGACAGGCGGGAGGGUGUCUUCUGCAGGAUUCAGUAUGACAGAGUUGAAUGUCAUCGGGUUGUCCCCCCACCUCCUCCCGCUCUAACAUACCUGAGGGAGGAUGUGUAUUCAUGUGCCCUCUGCACAGGCGUUCAGAAUCCUGUUCUGUGACAUCAACAAGACAAGUGUUUGGGGGGUCUCCUGCAGGAUUCACUAUGACAGGGUUGAAUGUCAUUGGGUUGUCCCCCAGCUUCUUCCUGCUCUAAUACACAUUAGGGAGGAUGUGCAUCCAUGUACCCUCUGCCACAGACACUCAGAAUCCUGGGCUAUGUCAUCAACAAGACAGGUGGUGGGACACAUGCAGGGGUGCUCUAGGUUGAGAAGCCACCAAUCAAUUUCCCUCUCCCAGGAGCGCUGAGAAUAGGGUGCCUCAGAAGAGGAGAUCAGACUUAGCAAGAUGGUGAUGAAAUUCUGGGCCAACUUUGCUCGCAAUGGAAACCCCAAUGGAGAAGGGCUGCCGCACUGGCCAGAGUACAACCAGGAGGAAGGGUACCUGCAGAUUGGUGCUAACACCCAGGCAGCCCAGAAGCUGAAGGACAAGGAAGUAGCUUUCUGGACCAAACUCUUCGCCAAGAAGGCAGUGGAGAAGCCACCCCAGAUAGAACACAUUGCGCUGUGAACGGAAGGUCCAUCCAGCCUCAGGAACCUGGAGGAGCAAAGACUGGGGUCUUUUGCCAAAGGGAUUGCAGGUUCAGAAGGCAUCUUACCAUGGCUGGGGAAUUGUCUGGUGGUGGGGGGUAGGGGGCAGAGGUCAUGAAGGAGCAAGUUUUUUAUUUGUGACCUCAGCUUUGGCAAUAAAAGAUCUUUU
rnacentral:lncRNA from 1 species